GAGUUUGAUCAUGGCUCAGGACGAACGCUGGCGGCGUGCUUAACACAUGCAAGUCGAGCGGAAAGGCUUCCUUCGGGAAGUACUCGAGCGGCGAACGGGUGAGUAACACGUGGAUAAUCAACCUCUUGCUCUGGAAUACCCCGGGGAAACUCGGAUCAAUGCCAGAUAAAGUGCGGUGCCGUCGGGUGCCGUACCAAAGAUAGCUUCGGCCUUCGGCGAGAGACGAGUCCGCGGCCCGAUUAGCUAGUUGGCGGGGUAAUGGCCCACCAAGGCUACGAUGGGUAGCUGGUCUGAGAGGAUGAUCAGCCACACUGGGACUGAGACACGGCCCAGACUCCUACGGAGGCAGCAGUGGGAAUCUUGCGCAAUGGGCGAAAGCCUGACGCAGC
rnacentral:rRNA from 1 species